rnacentral:snRNA from 17 species
AGCUUUGUGCAGUGGCAGUAUUGAAGCCAAUGAAGUCCAUCUGAGGCACAAUUAUUGCUAAUUGAAAACUUUUCCAGUACCCCACCAUGACAACUUUUAAUAUAGUCGGCAUUGGCAUAAUUUAAAAAAAAAAUA